GGUGAUCUAGCCAUGGGCAGGUUGAAGGUUGGGUAACACUAACUGGAGGACCGAACCGACUAAUGUUGAAAAAUUAGCGGAUGACUUGUGGCUGGGGGUGAAAGGCCAAUCAAACCGGGAGAUAGCUGGUUCUCCCCGAAAGCUAUUUAGGUAGCGCCUCGUGAAUUCAUCUCCGGGGGUAGAGCACUGUUUCGGCAAGGGGGUCAUCCCGACUUACCAACCCGAUGCAAACUGCGAAUACCGGAGAAUGUUAUCACGGGAGACACACGGCGGGUGCUAACGUCCGUCGUGAAGAGGGAAACAACCCAGACCGCCAGCUAAGGUCCCAAAGUCAUGGUUAAGUGGGAAACGAUGUGGGAAGGCCCAGACAGCCAGGAUGUUGGCUUAGAAGCAGCCAUCAUUUAAAGAAAGCGUAAUAGCUCACUGGUCGAGUCGGCCUGCGCGGAAGAUGUAACGGGGCUAAACCAUGCACCGAAGCUGCGGCAGCGACGCUUAUGCGUUGUUGGGUAGGGGAGCGUUCUGUAAGCCUGCGAAGGUGUGCUGUGAGGCAUGCUGGAGGUAUCAGAAGUGCGAAUGCUGACAUAAGUAACGAUAAAGCGGGUGAAAAGCCCGCUCGCCGGAAGACCAAGGGUUCCUGUCCAACGUUAAUCGGGGCAGGGUGAGUCGACCCCUAAGGCGAGGCCGAAAGGCGUAGUCGAUGGGAAACAGGUUAAUAUUCCUGUACUUGGUGUUACUGCGAAGGGGGGACGGAGAAGGCUAUGUUGGCCGGGCGACGGUUGUCCCGGUUUAAGCGUGUAGGCUGGUUUUCCAGGCAAAUCCGGAAAAUCAAGGCUGAGGCGUGAUGACGAGGCACUACGGUGCUGAAGCAACAAAUGCCCUGCUUCCAGGAAAAGCCUCUAAGCAUCAGGUAACAUCAAAUCGUACCCCAAACCGACACAGGUGGUCAGGUAGAGAAUACCAAGGCGCUUGAGAGAACUCGGGUGAAGGAACUAGGCAAAAUGGUGCCGUAACUUCGGGAGAA
rnacentral:rRNA from 1 species